rnacentral:piRNA from 1 species
UAUUUCUUUAAUGGCAAAUACAGGAGAAU